rnacentral:rRNA from 1 species
GGCCUAACACAUGCAAGUCGAACGGACCCCUUGAAGCAAUUUGAGGGGUUAGUGGCAAACGGGUGAGUAACACGUGGGCAUCUACCUUGAAGUGGGGAAUAACGAGCCGAAAGGUUCGCUAAUACCGCAUGAGAUCGGUCACCAACGCAAGUUGGUGCGAUGAAAGGUUUCUUCUAACGAAGAGAUCGCUUUGAGCGGAGCCUGCGGUCGAUCAGGUAGUUGGUGAGGUAACGGCUCACCAAGCCGAUGACCGAUAGCUGUUCUGAGAGGAAGAUCAGCCACACUGGGACUGUGACACGGCCCAGACUCCUACGGGAGGCAGCAGCGAGGAAUAUUGCACACUGGACGCAAGUCUGAUGCAGUAACGCCGCGUGGGGGAAGAAGACCUUCGGGUUGUAAACCUCUUUUGAGAAAGACGAGUGAGGACGGUAUUUCUAGAAUCAGUCUCGG